AAUCCAUGCAUCGAACAUUUCUGAAUAAAGUCUUUAAAUCAUUCCCAAGCUUCAUCUAUUGUUUCAUCCUCUGAUUACCAAAAAUAUGUGAUGUCAUUUCUAAGCUU
rfam:Gossypium raimondii chromosome 8, whole genome shotgun sequence.